GCCCGGGUGGUCUAGUGGUAUGAUUCUCGCUUAGGGCGUUAACCCAAGCAACACUAUUGUGCGAGAGGUCCCGCGUUCGAUCCGCGGCUCGGGCC